UUGUGAAUGAGGAGUGCAAGCAAGGCUGUAGAGCAACAGGAAGAAGAUUUGCCAAAAUUAGAAAUAUCACAGCCAAUUUCAGGCUCCAAAAAAUACAACAUGGCGGUGGCGAAAUUCAAAGCAUUGGUCCGCAAACCACUUGGCAAUGCCAUG